UACGAGGGGGGCGAGCGUUGUUCGGAAUUAUUGGGCGUAAAGGGCGCGUAGGCGGUGCGGUAAGUCACCUGUGAAACCUCUGGGCUUAACUCAGAGCCUGCAGGCGAAACUGCCGCGCUGGAGUGCGGCAGAGGGGGAUGGAAUUCCGCGUGUAGCAGUGAAAUGCGUAGAGAUGUGGAGGAAUACCGAUGGCGAAGGCAGCCCCCUGGGAUGACACUGACGCUCAUGCACGAAAGCGUGGGGAGCAAACAGG
rnacentral:rRNA from 1 species